UCAAUCAAGCGCAAAAGGGCAUUUCGUGGAUGCCUUGGCACAAAGAGGCGAUGAAGGACGUGAUACACUGCGAUAAGCUACGGGGAGGCGUGAAUAGCCAUUAUAUCCGUAGAUUUCCGAAUGGGGAAACCCACCACAUGUGUGGUACGUGCACCUGAAUACAUAGGGUGUACGAGCAAACCCGGGGAACUGAAACAUCUAAGUACCCGGAGGAAAGGACAUCAACCGAGACUCCGUCAGUAGCGGCGAGCGAACGCGGACCAGGCCAGUGCCUUUACAUUAAAAACCAGAAUACGAUGGAAAGCGUAGCGAUACCGGGUGAUAGCCCCGUAUGGGUAAAAAGGUGUAGAGGACUUGAGUAGAGCGGGACACGUGAAAUCCUGUUUGAACAUGGGGGGA
rnacentral:rRNA from 1 species